GCCGUAUACAUGGAAACAUGUACGUACGGUUCGGGGGAGAAUGCACCAAAACCUACUCAAGUAAUUGAGUAAGGCGUGGUGCAUUUAUCCCAC
rnacentral:ncRNA from 1 species